rnacentral:rRNA from 1 species
UACGUAGGGGGCUAGCGUUGUCCGGAUUUAUUGGGCGUAAAGAGCGUGUAGGCGGCCAGGUAGGUCUGCUGUGAAAACUCGAGGCUCAACCACGAGACGUCGGCGGAAACCAUCUGGCUAGAGUCCGGAAGAGGAGAGUGGAAUUCCUGGUGUAGCGGUGAAAUGCGCAGAUAUCAGGAAGAACACCCGUGGCGAAGGCGGCUCUCUGGGACGGUACUGACGCUGAGACGCGAAAGCGUGGGGAGCGAACAGG